rnacentral:rRNA from 1 species
UACGGAGGGUGCAAGCGUUGUCCGGAUUUAUUGGGUUUAAAGGGUGCGUAGGCGGUCUUUUAAGUCAGUGGUGAAAGCCUCCAGCUCAACUGGAGAAAUGCCAUUGAUACUGGAAGACUUGAGUAUAGUUGAGGUAGGCGGAAUUGACAGUGUAGCGGUGAAAUGCAUAGAUAUUGUCAAGAACACCGAUUGCGAAGGCAGCUUACUAAACUAUAACUGACGCUGAGGCACGAAAGUGCGGGGAUCAAACAGG